UACGACCGCAUCAGGUUGAAACACCGGUUCCCGUACGAUAACCAAAGUUAUGCAACAUCAAGCCUGGUCAGUACCCAGAUGGGUGACAGGCUGGGAAUACCAAGUGCUGUAAG